rnacentral:rRNA from 1 species
UGAUCCUGGCUCAGGACGAACGCUGGCGGCGUGCCUAAUACAUGCAAGUCGAGCGGACCAAAUCGGAGCUUGCUCUGAUUUGGUCAGCGGCGGACGGGUGAGUAACACGUGGGCAACCUGCCCGCAAGACCGGGAUAACUCCGGGAAACCGGAGCUAAUACCGGAUAACACCGAAGACCGCAUGGUCUUUGGUUGAAAGGCGGCCUUUGGCUGUCACUUGCGGAUGGGCCCGCGGCGCAUUAGCUAGUUGGUGAGGUAACGGCUCACCAAGGCGACGAUGCGUAGCCGGCCUGAGAGGGUGACCGGCCACACUGGGACUGAGACACGGCCCAGACUCCUACGGGAGGCAGCAGUAGGGAAUCUUCCGCAAUGGGCGAAAGCCUGACGGAGCGACGCCGCGUGAGCGAAGAAGGCCUUCGGGUCGUAAAGCUCUGUUGUGAGGGACGAAGGAGCGCCGUUCGAAGAGGGCGGGCGCGGUGACGGUACCCACGAGGAAGCCC